rnacentral:misc_RNA from 1 species
AUCGAAGCCUCUCGCCAAUUUCCUAUAUUGAUAGGGGUAUUGUGCAGGGCGAAUGUUGGCCUCCCGUGAGCUUUAUUGCCUCAUGGUUGGUUGAAAAUCGAGACCUUGGUAGGGUGUGCCAUGAUAGGUGGUGGAUGUGUUACGCACGAGACCAAGUAAGUCAUGUGCUGCUCUAUUGAAUUUAGGCCUCUUUUACCCACAUGCGUUUCGAAACGCUCGUG